rnacentral:rRNA from 1 species
UCGAGAAUCUUCGGCAAUGGGCGCAAGCCUGACCGAGCGACGCCGCGUGGAGGACGAAGGCCUUCGGGUUGUAAACUCCUGUCGAGGGGGAAGAAGGGGCCGCGAGGCCCUUGACUGAUCCCUGGAGGAAGCACGGGCUAAGUUCGUGCCAGCAGCCGCGGUAAGACGAACCGUGCGAACGUUAUUCGGAAUCACUGGGCUUAAAGCGCGUGUAGGCGGGAGGGCACGUCCGCAGCUGAAAUCCCCCGGCUUAACCGGGGAACGGGCGCGGAUACGACCUUCCUCGAGGGGCGUAGGGGGACCUGGAACUUCCGGUGGAGCGGUGAAAUGCGUUGAGAUCGGAAGGAACGCCCGUGGCGAAAGCGAGGUCCUGGACGCCUACUGACGCUGAGACGCGAAAGCCAGGGGAGCGAACG